AUUGAACGCUGGCGGCAGGCCUAACACAUGCAAGUCGAACGGAGUGGCGGACGGGUGAGUACUGUCUGGGAAACUGCCUGAUGGGGGGGGAUAACUACUGGAACAGGUAUCUAAUACCGCCUACCAUCGGAUUUGCCCAGCUGGGAUUAGCUAGUUGGUGGGGUAAAGGCCUACCAAGGCGACGAGCCGUAACUGGUCUGAGAGGAUGAUCAGUCACACUGGAACUGAGACACGGUCCAGACUCCUACGGGAGGAAGCAGUGGGGAAUAUUGGACAAUGGGCGAAAGUCUGAUCCAGCCAUGCCGCGUGUGUGAAGAAGGUCUUCGGAUUGUAAAGCACUUUAAGUUGGGAGGCGUUACCAACAGAAUAAGCACCGGCUAACUUCGUGCCAGCCGCCGCGGUAAUUC
rnacentral:rRNA from 1 species